CGGGGGGAGCAAGCGUUGUUCGGAUUUACUGGGCGUAAAGGGCGCGUAGGCGGCGCAACAAGUCACUUGUGAAAUCUCCGGGCUUAACUCGGAGCGGCCAAGUGAUACUGUCGUGCUAGAGUGCGGAAGGGGCAACUGGAAUUCUCGGUGUAGCGGUGAAAUGCGUAGAUAUCGAGAGGAACACCUGCGGCGAAGGCGGGUUGCUGGGCCGACACUGACGCUGAGGCGCGAAAGCCAGGGGAGCGAACGGGAUUAGAUACCCCGGUAGUCCUGGCCUUAAACGAUGGAUGCUUGGUGUCCGGGGUUACAUAGUCCCCGGGUGCCGCCGCUAACGCCUUAAGCAUCCCGCCUGGGGAGUACGCACGCAAGUGUG
rnacentral:rRNA from 1 species